AUUGAACGCUGGCGGCAUGCCUUACACAUGCAAGUCGAACGGUAACGCGGGGCAACCUGGCGACGAGUGGCGAACGGGUGAGUAAUAUAUCGGAACGUGCCCAGUCGUGGGGGAUAACUGCUCGAAAGAGCAGCUAAUACCGCAUACGACCUGAGGGUGAAAGCGGGGGAUCUUCGGACCUCGCGCGAUUGGAGCGGCCGA
rnacentral:rRNA from 1 species